rnacentral:rRNA from 1 species
GACGCACGCUGGCGGCGUGCUUAACACAUGCAAGUCGAGCGGAGCGGCGAACGGGUGAGUAACGCGUGAGUAACUGCCGCCCUCUCUGGGAUAACAGUUGGAAACGGCUGCUAAUCCCGGCUAUAGGGGUAUGACUUGCGUCCUAUCAGCUUGUUGGUUGGGUAGUGGCCUACCAAGGCGACGACGGGUGGCCGGCCUGAGGGGGCGACCGGCCACAUUGGGCUGAGAUACGGACCAAACGCCUACGGGAGGCAGCAGUGGGGAAUAUUGCACAAUGGAGGAAACCCUGAUGCAGCAACGCCGCGUGCGGGAUGACGUCCUUCUGGUUGUAAACCGCUUUCAGCCAUGACGCGGUAGUGGCAGAAGAAGCACCGGCUAACUACGUGCCAGCGGCCGCGGUAAUAC